rnacentral:rRNA from 1 species
GUACACUCCUACGGGAGGCAGCAGUGGGGAAUAUUGGACAAUGGGCGCAAGCCUGAUCCAGCCAUGCCGCGUGAGUGAUGAAGGCCCUAGGGUUGUAAAGCUCUUUCACCGGUGAAGAUAAUGACGGUAACCGGAGAAGAAGCCCCGGCUAACUUCGUGCCAGCAGCCGCGGUAAUACGAAGGGGGCCAGCGUUGUUCGGAUUUACUGGGCGUAAAGCGCACGUAGGCGGACUAUUAAGUCAGGGGUGAAAUCCCGGGGCUCAACCCCGGAACUGCCUUUGAUACUGGUAGUCUUGAGUUCGGUAGAGGUGAGUGGAAUUCCGAGUGUAGAGGUGAAAUUCGUAGAUAUUCGGAGGAACACCAGUGGCGAAGGCGGCUCACUGGCUCGAUACUGACGCUGAGGUGCGAAAGCGUGGGGAGCAAACAGGAUUAGAAACCCGGGUAGUCCCAUGAU